GGGUCAGGUACGAGGCUUUGCGCUCAGCCCUUGUUGUCCCUCCAGCCUCGCCACACCCAGACACCCAGGGGAAAGACGUGAGUGGGGACACGCAGUAGCCACUGUCCUUCCUGAGACCCGGUUUCUCCCUCACUACAGGUGAGCAUUCAAAAUUUCAAGGAUCUGCCCAGGAAGCAAAAUACCUCAGUUUAUCCCAAGGCUGAAAACAAAUGAACUUAAAUCACCACAUCACAAAAGGCAGCUAACUUGAAGACUAAAAAUGUCACUUGGAAAUUAAGGUGGGGGCAUACCCAGAAAUGGGGCAGAACACAAUGGAGAGAGAGGGAGGAGGUGUAAAUACAGCAGCCUAUACACCACAUAUCUCAGAGGAACAGGCUCCCGUAAUACCAGACGGUCUAUUUGUUCACAAUAUUAAAGGGCAUCUAGAAUUAGCUACAGUAAGGAAUUGAAAGUUGCCUGAAGAAUGGGCACAGAAAGGCUGCGUCCGAAGAUGGCCUGUCACUCAGGAGGGUGGAGCUGCUGGGCCUUCCUGUUGACCACUGUCUUGCGAAACUAGAAGAGAAAUACAAUUAUUAAGGAAGCAACAGGAAAACAGAAGCACAUUGUAAAUCAUCUUGAAUGGAGGAAUUUCAAAAGGAGGAAGGAUGCUAGUUGUGGGGAGGGGAGUGGGGGAAGAAGGCACUAAGGCCCCAGCAGUGACUAAAAGCUGGCAUUGCAGCUAUCCUCUUAAUCCUACCCUUCUGUCUCCCAGAAACUGCUUUAAGAACAUGGGGCAGUGAGUGUAAACAGAGGUUUGCACCACUGCUGGUGAGACUCUGGUGCUCCUUCAUUUUUGGGGGCUAUAGGACAGCCAGUUUAUUUGAUUAAGUAAUUUUCAUUCAGAGCCUAAUCUGGGAACAGAAUCAAGUUUUUCUUCCUAGGACCAAGACCACUCUAAGCUGCUGAAAUAACCUGAAUCUGGAGCUAAUAAGAGGAAGAAACUUUAGGAAAAGUGACAAUGUGAAACAAGGGUCACUCCUAUUCCUGUCCCGUGAUCUGGGCAGAAACUCUCCUAGCAUAUGAAAUGCUAACUCUAUUGAAGACAGCUAUUUAGUAUGGGACAGGGGGAUAUAAAAUAGGCAACAAAAUGCCAGAUACAGAGAUGAAUGCUAAAAGAAGCUGUCUGGCCAACAAAUUGUCCAAGGAAAUUGAACAGGGCAGGGAUGUGAGAACUAGAAAGUCUGGCAUGAAUAGUACAGGAAAGUCCCCCAACAUGCCACCUUCAACUAUGGCUCAAGUUGCAAGAGGGGAAAGUGAAUGAUGGAUUUCAUUCAUUAUUGUGAAUUAUAAACUUUGCUUCUGUGUCCACAA